ACACAUCAACAUGGCAGUUAACAAAAACUAACGAGUUUAACUUCUGUCCGGAGGUGGCGAAAAAAAAGUGUUUUACGCAACCUAAUGAAUGAAAGCCACGUCGUUAUUUUACAGAAAAAUCAAUACACCUCAGCACACACAAUCAUAACUCAUUAAAAUCUACAAUCCUCCUCACACACGAUGGUUUCAGAUCUGGAGAGCUAAACCCCAAAUCUCCUCUCCUCCUCUCUUCUUAGCCCCGGAGCUCUACGCCGCCACAUACGCCGCCGCACGCGUCGUUUCCGGCGUCUGAAAAUUAUGUCGGAGCCUUCGCAUGUGUGGUGUCACCACCUCAAGCUAUGAUGCAGACAGGUGGUUUUGAAUAUUUCAGUUCAAAAUGCAACUUGAUAGCAAACUACUUAAGGGCCAAAUUUACAAAACUCCUAUGGGCUCAGGGGAUAGUUAAGCGCUUAAUAUCACAGUUAAUCGAAAUUCUGGAGAAGAUCUUGCCUUGGAAUUAAAAAUAUUGACUCUGCCAAUGCAUAGUUGGAUAUUGUGGAGAGGAAAGGGAGGAUGUUAUUGACCUGGAAGGUCAUUGGUAAUGCAUGGAACCAUUACUUUGGCAUGCUCUCUUCUCCUUUUCAUAUUCAAAGUUGGACUCGAUUGGUCUACAAGAUUUAUGUAACAUUCUAGAUGAAUGAGCUCACCAUUUACAAACUCCCAUGACGACAAGUAAGACCAUUCUUUAACCACUGUGAAUUUUUUUUUUCAUUGACAUUAUGUUUUGGUCAAACCCUUGAUUUCAUCUUAGGAAAAAAAAUUAUGCCUGCAAAUUCCAUAUGAUGACUUUAUGUGUUAAGAUUUUAGAGUCGAGUAAAUUAUAUAAUUUUCAAAGCAUGUGGAAUAACCAUUUUACCCAUGAGUACUUAUUUGACUCAAAAUUUGAUUAUUGGGCACCAAAUUGCCCAUGAUUGCAUAGAAAACAGAUCACAAAUCAAGAUAGAGAAUAUUAAUCCAUGAUUAAUUAACAUUCAAUAUGUUGCAUAACUUUUGAUACAAAUAGAUGAAAGAUUUAGAGUUCUGAUUCAUGCUGGAGCAUACUUGUAGAGGGUUUUUGAAAAAUGACAUCAAGUAAUUGCCGAUCCUUUCAAAAAAAAAAAAAAAACUUUAGGAAAAGAACUGAUAAAAAAAUUUAGAGGUCAUUGUCAUUUCUUUAUAUUAUGAAGGAGAUUAGUGUAAUUUCCCCUUUAAAAUGUUGGGAAAAAAAAGUGAACAUGAGAAAAGAAGGAAUAGAGAAUAGAUAAGUGAUUUGGAAAUAGUCCAUGAUACCAAAAGCCAAAUAGUGACAUUUUCUAUUCAAUUCAUUGAUAACACAUUACAAAUUUACAAUGACAUGCUUAAUGAGAUUUCUAAAAUUUGAAAAUAGAUCCAACUAUCAUUUUAAGCUUGGAAUAUUUUGAAUUUAAAUUUCAUAUAUCAAUAUAAUUGAUUAUUAUAUUGCUCCAGUCACAUUAAUUCCUUCAUUCUUCAAUCUUCCAGUUGUGCAAAAGUGAAUCAUAUUUUUUAACCAUGACAACUUAGACGGCCCGUUUGGUUUGUGUUUCGAAAAACAAAAAUAUUUUAUUGAAUUUUGUUAGUUUUGUUAAAAAUAAUUCCCUUGGGGAUCAAAUUUUAAUGAAUACUUCUUAAAAUCUAGGGUUAAUGCGAAACCACCCCAAAAUCAUAUGGGGAAAUUAUUCAAACACUACCCAUUCUCUAUUCAU